rnacentral:rRNA from 1 species
CGGAGGAAGGUGGGGAUGACGUCAAAUCAUCAUGCCCCUUAUGUCUUGGGCUUCACGCAUGCUACAAUGGCCGGUACAAAGGGUUGCGAUACUGUGAGGUGGAGCUAAUCCCAAAAAGCCGGUCUCAGUUCGGAUUGGGGUCUGCAACUCGACCCCAUGAAGUCGGA